CAAUUACCACAUUGCCAGUAGCUGGAGCUAGGGAGAGACAAGCUCCUGAUGAUCCACAGCUGUUAACAUUAAAGUGUUAAUUGAAUGCAGGCACCAAGGAGGAGCAACUUCCUGGGCAUGCGUGUUAAGAGACAAAAUCGUGGAGUAUGGCCUUCUGGGGGCACAUUGCCGGGUGAGGGAAGAAAGCCUCAGAUGGGAAUGGAUAUAACUUCCUAAACACACCGUGCAUGCUCACUUCCUAAAGGAUGGAUAAAGCAACUUGGAACCAAUUAAAAAUAGCUGGGUCUGGUGUCAGGCGACGUGGAUCACAUCAUUUCACCUGUCUCAGCCUCAGUAAUCACUUAGAGAUCCCAUAGCUAAAGGUAAAUAAGAAGACAUGAUAAAGAAAUAAACAUGAAAGAAAAUUCAAAUGAAACAGAGGCCUUAUUAAAAGGAAACUGGCAAUAUGUAGACAAAAUCAAAUCAAAUCAAAGUAACGGGAAUUAUCCAUCUUCCUGAGG
rnacentral:lncRNA from 1 species